rnacentral:lncRNA from 1 species
AUAGCACCUAACACUAUAGUUAAUUAUUUCUGCAGCUGCAUAUUAUUCACACAACUGUCAAAAAUUAAAAUAAACAGAAGUAAGAAUAGAUUUGCAUUAUGCAGUACAUUUUAGCAACUUACUGCAUGCAUGCACUUUUGGUCAGAGACAAAAGAAUACAUGAUCAACUCACAUCACCUCAAAAGUUUUAAAUAUAACAGGUCUUCUCUAUCUUGCUAUAUUUGACAAUUUAAGGCUGUCAAAUAGUAUUCAACAAAGAAAAUCAGGAUUAACAUGAAAACUGCAUUUGUACGCCCACGUAACUUGUGCCUCUUGCUCUUACCAGUUGAAUGUGAUCGAAAACAUGGGUGAUUUUGGUGUGGUGUCAUAUCUGGCCGAUGCCGACGGAAACGUGAUUGUUGGACCUACAGCUCCUGUGCCCACGUGUCGUUCAACAACACCUUCAAACAGAUCAAUUCCCACACCAGCCAGCCCAGUUACCCCAACUCCAACAUCAACCCCGGCUAAUACAAACCCUCAAAAUAAAACUACAGCUACCCCGACCCACCAAAAUCAAACCCCAGGUACACCACGCCCCUCAGCCCCACCUGCUCAGAUCCCCGAAUAUCAGUCCCCAGGUUCCCCGAUCCUCUCAAACACAUCCACUCCUCAACCCUCCACUCCCACCGCAGGUGAGAAAUCAAUGAAUAUGUCAACGGAUGAUGAGCAGAUUAUGCUGAAAGGGACAGAGCUGGUUGAAGUCAUUCAUCUCACAGAAAAUGUUUCUGGACCAGAGACCACAUCUCCAUCAGAACCAGACGAAUGCACAGACAGCUCUCAAAAAGCGAAAAACCAUGAAAAUGUGUGUAGAAAAAAAAGAUAGACUAAAAAUUCAAAAGCGAAAACCAUGAAAAUGUGUGUGAAAAAAAAGAUGACUAAAAUGCUUGCGGACACAGUUUGUAUUUGUGACCAUAGACCACAAAACCAGUCUUAAGUGUUAAUUUUUUCGAAAUUGAGAUUUAUACAUCUUCUGAAAGCUGAAUAAAUAAGCUUUCCAUUGAUGUAUGGUUUGUUAUGAUAAGACAACAUUUGGCCGAGAUACAACUAUUUAGAAAAAAAAAAAACAUACAGAGAAAAUCGCCUUUGAAGUUGUCCAAAUUAAUUCUUAGCAAUGAAUAUAACUAAUCAAAAAUCAAGUUUUGAUAUAUUUACAGUAGGAAAUGUACAGUACUAAAUAUCUUCAUGGAACAUGAUCUUUACUUAUUAUCCUAAUGAUUUUGGGCAUAAAAGAAAAAUCUAUAAUUUUGACCCAUACAAUGUUUUUUUGGCUAUUGCUACAAAUAUACCCCAGAGACUUAAGACUGCUUUUGUGCUACAGGGUCAUUAUGUUUUAGAACUAGGUAUAGGACAUGCUAGUUAUGGUUUUAGAGAUUUAUUCGAUGAGUGUCGUCUCAAAUGCCUGUUCAUCUGUGCUUUAUGAAAAUUAGAUGGGAGGUAAAAUUAUAUUUCAAGGCCUUUGUAUUGAAUCUGAAAACUUGUGUUUGAUUGCAAAACAUUUGUUUUGGAAAUAAUAUGAGGUGGAAGGAAUAAUACAGCAGUGCUUUUGCUUUCUCUGGGAUGUAAUUUAAUACACCCACUUUUCACAAUCAGCUCUGUUAAUGGAAAUCUUGGAAAGAUUUUUUAGUUUUAGCUGGCAGUAUAUAUUCACUGACAUUCAUUCACUUAGCACAUGUUCUGCUGUGUGUAAAGUAGCUUGCAAAAAACAAUACAAGCAGAAUCUAUUCAUCGAAAAUAUAUUAAUUUAUUAAAUCCAUCAAUCUAAUACUAGUGCUAUCAUAACAUUUCACUGAGUACUAGAAAACUAAUUUAAUACAGGAAAAUGCCUUGAAUAUGUAUGCAUGUUUAUAUGUUUGAUUAAAUAAAAUAUAGAACAGAACACUUGAGCAAUAAGUGAAUUAUUAAAUGCAAUCGUCAAUACAGCAACACCUCAGUUAUUGUUGCACCAUGUUUUUCAUCUUUUUAUACUGUUCCAGAUUUUCUCUUCUCAAAACAGGGCUGGUAGAACAUGAAUGCAUGAAUUAGCCUUUUAUUUAUAUAUUGCAUAAUGCAUAAUGCUCACAUGCACAUAAAAUGCAGCAGCUACAGUAGUUCUUACAAGAACCAAGAAUUAUGAUCAUAUUAUCCACUUGUUGCACACUUUCUAUAUUAAUCAGAAUACCGAGUCAUGUAAAUACCUUGUUCAGAAUACUUCAGCUGAACAAUCACAUUUGCAACCUGGUUAAUAUAAGAGAUACAGAAAGUCAAGGUACUGAAGAGAUUCGAGUCACUCAUCCGAUGGAAACUCAAACACAAAAACAAGACUAUGAAAUACAAUUACAAGACUAUGAAAUACAAUUAUUUAUAACAGGACAUUUAUUUGUCAGAUGAGAUCCAUUAAUCGUUCUGACACACUCCUUCAAAGCAGUUUGAUUGAUUUUUACUUUUUUAUCUGUUUUUCUAGAAAUUCUGUAUGAAAGUAAGACAAUGGUAGCAAUAAUGAUGUAACAAUAGUGAACGUGAUGUUUAAGAUGAUAAAACUUCUUUAUUCAGAAAAAUACACAGAUUCAGGAAGUUACUGUUGAUCUAAAUAAAAAUAACAUUCUGGGAGCAGAGAUUGUUGAUAUGUUUUUUUGCACAAAUUUCAAUCAAAUGAUUGUUCUGUUGACAAUAUCCAGCAUGUUCGAACAUAGUGUUCCAUAUGCAUCUUUAAAAAUAUGUAUAUAUUUAAAAUAUAAUCUCACAAAUAAAUGUUGAUUUAACUGUCAAAAACUGGGAGUAAUAAUGUCUGAGUUUGGGCAAAAGCCAACAACAGUGAGUGAUGAGGAAGUUUUCAUUCAGUCAUUGGGUCAGAUGAACUCUAUUUUAAGCUCAGUGAAGUGAAAAUUGGUGAAAAGUGUUACUGUUGAAGGUUUUAGUGAUUUGCAUGAAAAAUUCUGAACAGUAAAUUGAACUUUAGAUCUGUUGUAGGGUUGAGGUGGCAACAACUUACUGAAAUCUGUGUGCAUCUUUGUGCAGUUUUCCUGAGAUGUGCAAAAAGAUUUAAUGUUCUGGAAAAAAAAAUUCUGCCAAUAAAUGGACGGAGUUCACAUUUGAAUCCAAGAUUGGUUCCACCCAGAGUGUGAAUCAUUUUAUAAAACUCACAGCUUCAUCAUUAUAUUACCCACAUAUAAAUGUGACUGCUCUGCGUGGAACUAACUUCUAAGAAAUGACUCACGGUCCAGGUGGAAGCAAUCUUGUUCACUAACUGGUGACCUUUGUGAUACAAUCAGAUCAGUAGCUUUUCUAGAAUACUACCAGAUGGAUUUGCAAAAUCAUUAUGUUUGUUUUUCCAAUUCACAAUUAAUGCAAAGUUUCUAAAUGCUCAAGUCAGCUUUUAAAAAAAUUGAUUCUCAUUAUGUUUCUCUGCUUUUAUUCAUGUGUCAAACAAUUGUCAGCACUCUACUUGAAGCCUGUGUGUGUGUGUGUGUGUAUAUAUAUAUAUAUAUAUAUAUAUAUAUAUAUAUAUAUAUAUACUAGUACGUGUGUGAGAGAGAGAUCAUGAAGACUUUUUUGGCUUAUUGAGUUAUAUACUACACCUAUCUAUGCAAUAUACAGUGGA